rnacentral:rRNA from 1 species
AAUCUCUUAGAAAUAAGAGAGUGCCUCAUUAGAGGAGCCUGGUGACAGGUGCUGCAUGGCUGUCGUCAGCUCGUGUCGUGAGAUGUUGGGUUAAGUCCCGCAACGAGCGCAACCCUUGCCUUUAGUUGCCAUCAUUAAGUUGGGCACUCUAGAGGGACUGCCGGUGUCAAACCGGAGGAAGGUGGGGAUGACGUCAAGUCCUCAUGGCCUUUAUGACCAGGGCUACACACGUACUACAAUGGCAUGUACAAAGGGCAGCCACUUCGCAAGAAGGAGCGAAUCCUUAAAACAUGUCUCAGUCCGGAUUGGAGUCUGCAACUCGACUCCAUGAAGUUGGAAUCGCUAGUAAUCGUAGAUCAGCAUGCUACGGUGAAUACGUUCCCGGGCCUUGUACACACCGCCCGUCACACCACGGGAGUUGGUUGUACCAGAAGUAGUUGAGCGAACCUUUAUGGACGCAGACUACCAAGGUAUGGCUGGUAACUGGGGUGAAGUCGUAACAAGGUA